rnacentral:rRNA from 1 species
AACGAACGCUGGCGGCAGGCUUAACACAUGCAAGUCGAACGGAUCGUUCGGGAUUAGUGGCAGACGGGUGAGUAACGCGUGGGAACGUACCCUUUGCUACGGAAUAACUCAGGGAAACUUGAGCCAAUACCGUAUGGGCGCUACUGGGGAAAGAUUUAUCGGCAAAGGAUCGGCCCGCGUUGGAUUAGCUAGUUGGUGGGGUAAUGGCCUACCAAGGCGACGAUCCAUAGCUGGUUUGAGAGGCUGAUCAGCCACACUGGGACUGAGACACGGCCCAGACUCCUACGGGAGGCAGCAGUGGGGAAUAUUGGACAAUGGGCGCAAGCAUGAUCCAGCCCUGCCGCGUGAGCGAUGAAGGUCUUAGGAUUGUAAAGCUCUUUCACCGGUGAAGAUAAUGACGGUAGCCGGAGAAGAAGCCACGGCUAACUUCGUG